GAUGAACGCUGGCGGCGUGCCUAAUACAUGCAAGUCGAGCGAACAGAAGAGAAGCUUGCUUCUCUGAUGUUAGCGGCGGACGGGUGAGUAACACGUGGGUAACCUACCUAUAAGACUGGGAUAACUCCGGGAAACCGGGGCUAAUACCGGAUAAUAUUUUGAACCGCAUGGUUCAAUAGUGAAAGACGGUUUCGGCUGUCACUUAUAGAUGGACCCGCGCCGUAUUAGCUAGUUGGUAAGGUAACGGCUUACCAAGGCGAUGAUACGUAGCCGACCUGAGAGCGUGAUCGGCCACACUGGAACUGAGACACGGUCCAGACUCCUACGGGAGGCAGCAGUAGGGAAUCUUCCGCAAUGGGCGAAAGCCUGACGGAGCAACGCCGCGUGAGUGAUGAAGGUCUUCGGAUCGUAAAACUCUGUUGUUAGGGAAGAACAAAUUUGUUAGUAACUGAACAAGUCUUGACGGUACCUAACCAGAAAGCCACGGCUAACUACGUGCCAGCCGCCGCCGUAA
rnacentral:rRNA from 1 species